CGAUAUGCGGCUCUUAAUUUGAUAAGUUUCUCCCGAUAUGUCCUAACAUAUUGGGCGGUAACCGCAUAGGAAGCCGAGCCCAAUAGACACAUACCCGAAUUCCACAUGUAAUUUCCAUGGGUACCGCCCAAAUUUCUAAUAAUGGUCACCGCGGUCGCUAUCGAGCCGGUAAUUGCUGCGGUUCCGGAUAAUCCCUCCAGAAUCGACCAUAUGAUCAGAGAUCCUCCGUGUUCGUGUGUCCUGUCUUGGAACUUACCUCGUAAUUUCACCAGCUCCUCAAGUUGGGAAUUGGAUAUAUCCGUUUUAAAAGUUUCUUCUCUGGUACUAGAACUCUCUGCCAUUUCUAUUAUAUUAGAAAAAAACUAUCCUUUAAAUAAAAUAAUGGCGGACAUUGAUAUUGAUCCGUUUGGGGACCAUGGUCAAACCGACGAGGGUCCCGAUGAAACCACGCCCCCGGUACCGAAGGAGCGCACGCGUGUGCAGAUACAUACUCCCGAUGAGGAGACAUCAUUCGGUGGAGAAACCUCUCUGCGCUCCAGAGUUACCAGUGAGCUGGUUAAAUCGCUCUAUGAGAAGCUACUAACUAUAUAUCCAAACGAGAACCCGAGCGUGAUACAUACCGAUCUGUUUGAGUCUCGUGGUGUUGAAUUAUACUACAAGGGUGAUAACAGACCUCUGACAAAUGGUGGAUCUCUAAGGUCUACCGGUACCAUUGCAGAUCUAUUGGGCAAGAAAAGGCUGAGCGGUUUGGGGUUCGAUAUACCGAAAGGUAGUAUAACCCCCCGACAGGCCGCUAGGCUAAACAAAAUAGAAGAGAGACUACCGUCACCGGAUAAAAUAGAGAAUGCGACCGAUAUAGAAUUAGAAACCAUGUCUGGAGAUGUUGUGAACAGUGCGGAAGAUUUAAUUUCAUUGGUCAAACAACAAUCUGUAGACCAUGAAGCAACCCAGACCGGUGAUCUAUUUGAAUAUCCUAUGCGUGAAUUGCUAGGAUUGGAUAGAUCAUUGAGAAACAUAAGAGGAAGUCUUCAGGAUGAAGUUGCAAAAAAGGUUCAGCUCGAACAGCAUAUUGACAGAGAAAAAAACAAGUUGGAAGAGAUGGAAAACACACCAAAUAUGACCGAGGAACAACAAAAUGAAGCGAAAGAAAGGUUGAAAGGUUUGCAAAAUGAGUUGAAAGGCCGGCAAGAGAUUAUCGAUAUUCUCAAAGGUAAACUUAACAGUCAAAUAAAAAGCAUCAGGGAGACGAUUACCAAAGUACUUGACAAAGAAACUACAUUGGGUGAAAAGAUACGAACGCUAUUCCGUGAGCAGGGUAUCACCAUCGUCAGUGUACUAACGGCAUUUGGUAUGGUUAUCGGCCUUUUGGUUGAAACUUUGACGCCCGGAGGUGGGGGGUCAUCCGCCGGUAAUACAAAAAAUCAUGAAAACACCGAAGGUGGUGCGAGGGAAUGGAUAAAGAACAAGCUGAGCGCGCUGGGAUCUCUCCUGGGUAGAUUAGCCGGUGCCGCAGCCGCAUCACUGCCCGGUAUAAUUGGAUCCAUCGUAUCGUGGAUCCUAAAUAGAGCAAAGGAGGUCGUCGGUUGGUUGAGUCAAAACCUGUGGGCUUUGAUAGUCGGAAUCGGAGGUCUGAUAUACACCUACAUGGUGACAAAGCGUUAGCUAUUCCGAAUAUAUGUUACAUGUGUCAUGUAACAUAAUACCCGCGGCAUAGUACUAUUUUUCGAAAUACCACACGGCACCCCCGACACCGAUCAUGCUUAGCGCGAUAAAUGCCAAUUCCCGUUCAUGCUGGCCGUUGCUGGGUGUAUAUCAGACCUCCGAUUCCGACUAUCAAAGCCCACAGGUUUUGACUCAACCAACCGACGACCUCCUUUGCUCUAUUUAGGAUCCACGAUACGAUGGAUCCAAUUAUACCCGGUAGGGACGCGGCUGCGGCACCGGCUAAUCUACCCAGGAGAGAUCCCAGCGCGCUCAGCUUGUUCUUUAUCCAUUCCCUCGCACCGCCCUCGGUUUUUUCAUGAUUUUUUGUAUUACCGGUGGAUGACCCCCCACCCCCAGGCGUCAAAGUUUCAACUAGAAGGCCGAUAACCAUACCAAAUGCCGUUAGUACACUGACGAUGGUGAUACCCUGCUCACGGAAUAGGGUUCGUAUCUUUUCACCCAAUGUGGUUUCUUUGUCAAGUACUUUGGCGAUUGUCUCCCUGAUGCUUUUUAUUUGACUGUUAAGUUUACCUUUGAGAAUAUCGAUAAUCUCUUGCCGGCCUUUCAACUCAUUUUGCAAACCUUUCAACCUU